AUGACACACAUACGGAAUGAAAGGAACUGUACCCCUUCAGACUGUGCUGAGCCGAAUUCAAAUAUCAUUAAGUUGCUGGAAUCAGCAGCAAGCUAUGUACCUAUAUCAGCAGAGGGAGAAAAGGAAUGUGAGCAGCAUGCUACUAUCAAGAUAAGAAAAAAAGUGAAUUCUGAGCCAUGUGAGAAAGCCGAUGAUCCCGUAAGCAGACAACAUCAACUUGUCCAAUCAAUUAACAGAUUUAACAAGUAAGCAUAGAAGCUUUUGUGGAAAUACAUUUCUUGUUUCCCAUAAGCAAACGAAACAUGUAACUGUAGAAUAAUGCCCAAAAGUGGGGCAAGCAUUGUUGCACAUCAGAUAUGACUAAUUUGACAGUAGGCUUUAAUCCACAGAGGCAUAAACAUUAAUAUCACCAGACAGAUGUUCUAGGCGUACUCGGUGGUGGUGAACAGCAUGUGAACAGUGAGUGAUGUGAAGCAGGAAGGGGAAAAGCUGGCCUGUGAAGGUAGUACUGGCAAACAUAUUUACAAUAGUUUUUGCACUGAUACUUGCUAUGCCAUAAAUUGGCAAUUUCUGAGCCAGGCUCUUUGAAAAAUGUCUUAAUGCUUCACUCAGACAUUGGGUUUUGGCUAUAAUCUUCCAAAUUGCAGUUUAUAUUCUGUGAUAAAUUGAUGCCCCAUCCCUGGAGACUUUCAAGGGGAGGCUGGAUAAGGCCCUGGCAACCUGAUCUAGCUGUGGUGUCCCUGUUCAUUGCAAGGGAGUUGGACCACACGGCCUCAGAGAUCCCUUCCAACUCAAAGGAUUCUAUGAUUCUAAAACAUAGGAGAUAGUAAUAGGCUGUCCUUUUGUGGAAAAAGUGAUGUCAGAUAGUUGCCUUUGUGUGCUGAGAUAGUGCCACCUAGUGGGUUUUCCAUCNAUAUUUCUAAUUUUUAAAUCUGAAUCUGCAAAGUGGCCAGUGAUCAAGGAGAGCCACCCCUUUGUAAAAGAAAAGUCAGGGGCAGAUAUAGAAAUGGAAGAUAAGAGUAGUUGGAGUGACUGAGCAAGUCUUGAAGAAGGAGCACAGGGUCUCUCCCCUGACAGAUCUGGAAGCAGUUUGGCUUCUGGACCUAGUUCUGUAGUGUCUAGUUGAGCCUGUCUAUGUAACUGCUUGCACAUUUCUUAGUGGUAUGAGAAACAACUGUUACAGUAACUUAAGACCUGCGUUACCAAAGAUGAUUGUAAGAGAUAAGAUCAUAUUGGAAAAUAAGUUUUAGAAUGCCUUGAUUGUCUUUUCAGUUCUGGUACUGAUUGAUGUGUAUGCUGUGGCAAGUUGGCCUCUUCUUGUUUUCACAUACUUAGGCUGAAGAUGAUAACUGUCCUACAAAGCGCGCUAUUUCUAAUUCUUGACUGUGUUCUCAGUGUCAAGAAUAUCAUGACAUUAAUGUGAUAAUUAUAUUCACAAAACUAUUUUAAUUAUCCAUUUUUGUGGUGAAGAAACCAGACAAUGCUUUUAACUUGCCAUUUUUCUCUCCCCACAGUUAGCUAUUAAAAGCUUUGAUAAAACCAAGUUAAAAUCUGUUGAAACACUGGACCAGAACAAAGCUAAGAUUAUUGACGCAGAAUGCAGCG
ensembl:lncRNA